rnacentral:rRNA from 1 species
ACGCUCGACACCUACGCGAGGCAGCAGUGGGGAAUAUUGCACAAUGGGGGAAACCCUGAUGCAGCGACGCCGCGUGGAGGAAGAAGGUCUUCGGAUUGUAAACUCCUGUUGUUGGGGAAAAAGAGGAUGGUACCCAACAAGGAAGUGACGGCUAACUACGUGCCAACAGCCGCGGUAAUCUGAGCGGGCUGGCAAGGC